UUCUUUUUCUUUAAGCGAUAGCCAAAGUGUACACAAACAGAGCAGCUGCUCAUUUCUGUUUGGGAAAUUACGAGGAAACACUGAGCGAUGCAACAGCCGCUAUUACCUUGAAACCAACUUUCAUUCAAGCCAUAGAAAGAGGAGCCCGUGCUUGUAUAAAGCUAAAGCGUCACGAAGAAGCCAAGACCUGGUGUGAUAAGGGAUUGGCAAUUGACAAGAACAACAAGACAUUACUUGAUUUACGGACCAAGUGUGUCAGUGAACCCGAUACAUCACAAGAAACAAAGCGAGGGAACAUGAACAGCAUGCCUGUCACUCACACUGCAAUAGGCCAAAGCAACAAUGGUAAGAGAAAUAUUUGGGGAAAUGAAAACUGUGUUUAGAAAUAUUUUCUCUCAGCUAAUUCAAAAAGUAUGUUAAUAACAAUGAAGAGAAGAAACAAAAAGGAAUGCUUUUGACAAUUGUAAGGUUCGCCGUUUAAUUUCAGUCCGUCGUUGAGAGAAGGUGCUAGGCGUUUAAUUCAAUAUGCCUCCCUGAACAGCAGACCGAGAUCCAGCAAAGAAAUUUAAAAAAAAACUAGCUAGGGUUUCAGACAUUCCCGAUAAUGCCGUCCCAUUCGCCUCUGGAAACUUCCAGAAAGUCAAACAGGAAUAUUUGGCUGGAUGACAGGCGCUCCUAUUCUCAUAGUACGCUUUGGUCACCCGUGGUUUAACGAUGUCGGUAAAGGUAGACUAAAAGGCCUACAAAACCACCUCCUUACCAUUUAAUCGUAAGAGGAUAUUAUAAAAUAGCGCGCGCGCUGGUCUUACCUACUUCUUUUUUCAGCCAUCAUUGCAAAAUUUGCAGUUUCAUUUUAGCUGCACAAUUUCCGUAGAGUUUAGCUUCGAGUUCCUUUUGUUAAGGUUUUGGCAAUGUGAGCUUUAUUCUGAACAAUCCUAUCCCUUCUUCGAGCCUCUGACUUUCGCCAAGCUAAGAUGAUUACUAAAACGUAAGUAUUUUGACUUUGUUUGUCUACAUUUUCAUUAAUUUGAAGAAGCGAAUUAAUAAAUUGACAA